rnacentral:rRNA from 1 species
AUUCAACGGCCGCGGUAUCCUAACCGUGCGAAGGUAGCGUAAUCACUUGUUCUUUAAAUAAGGACUAGUAUGAAUGGCAUCACGAAGGUUAUGCUGUCUCCCCUUUUUAAUCAGUGAAACUAAUCUUCCCGUGAAGAAGCGGGAAUAAAAUUAUUAGACGAGAAGACCCUAUGGAGCUUUAGACUAUGCAACAAUUGCUAUACCAUCAUUAUACCUUAUAGGAAUUAAAAUUAAAUUUAACAUAUUGAUUGCUAGUCUUGGGUUGGGGUGACCGCGGAGUAUAACUUAACCUCCACGAUGAAAGAGACUAAAUUUCUUAACCCAGAGCUACAUCUCUAAGUACCAAAAAUUUGACAUAAAUUGACCCAAUUAAUUGAUCAACGAACCAAGUUACCCUAGGGAUAACAGCGCAAUCUACUUCAAGAGCCCAUAUCGACAAGUAGGUUUACGACCUCGAUGUUGGAUCAGGGUAUCCUAGUGGUGCAGCCGCUACUAAAGGUUCGUUUGUUCAACGAUUAAAACCC